UUUCUUCUUCAGAUUUUAGAUCUACAUAUAGAAAAAAAACUCAUGGAUCUGAUUUGCUUUCUCUUUUAUAUUUCUUCCCAGAUCUGUGACGAAGUGGAUACACAUCGGAAGUUGCGACGAAUGGUGGUGGAUCUUCUUUUGUCCUCGACACAUCUUUUCCAAUUUGUUCACGUCUUUGAUUCGGAAAGUGAAAGACAAAAAAAGAAGCUAGAUGCGGGAGGAGGCGUGACAGGAGUGGUGUUCGAAGGAAGGAGCACUAGAGGUGGAGAUGACGAUGAAUCUACCAGAAAGUGAAAGCUUAAACUUUUUCAAUAGGAAAAUUCUGUAAUUUCAGUGAUCUAAUAGCCAAUUUGGCUCAACAUUUUCUUGUUUGUUAAAAGCAAAAUUUGCUUCCUUGUAGUACAAAUUUGAAAAUUUGUUGAUGUAUAAGUAAGUACAUUAGGCACCAUGGUAUGUUGCAGUAAAUUAAUUUACAUCAUAUUUGUUGGA